rnacentral:tRNA from 1 species
GGCCCGCUAGCUCAACUGGUAGAGCAGCGGACUCUUAAUCCGCGGGUUCGGGGUUCGAGUCCCUGGCGGGUCACCA